UGCGAGUUCGGACCAAAACAACGCCAGAAGCGUUCGUACACUGUUUAGUUUCGCCGGUACUCUUCUGUCAGAUCAUAUUGUAUUAUCGGCCGGCGUGCGCGGGAGUCUAUUUUCGAUCGCUUUUAUUUUUCAUUCAAUUAAAUUAAAUAAAACAAUGGAUUCUAACAAUAAGGACAAGUCUAAAAAUCGCGCUGCAGCUUCGAAUAUCAGCUACAAUCCGUGGAAUCUCUUAUUCAGUCCGAGAAAUCGUACUGAAAGUGAAAACAGCGUUAAUUCCAACACAUCAACAACAUCAGCUUCCCAGUUCGGGGGACUGCAAAGGCAGACAAGCAAAACCAAUGAAGAAUAUUUGUGGAUGAUGUGGCGUUCGUAAUCGUACGCUCAAGGAAGGCUUAAGCAAUGGACGACUGGCAGAUGGAACAUAGACUAUUUUAGUGGUUACACUUACGUUAUAUUGCAGUAUAAUGAACUGUUUGGAAACACGUAUGAAACACAGUUUUAGAGAUGUUGGAACAGGUUGCCUUUCUACCGACGUGGUUUCUCAUGGCGUGGAUAGGUGCUUGCGUUCUCUUCAGCCCUUUUGCAAUAUUCUUCGUGAUAUGCCUGCCACAGUUACCCCUUCUAGUAGUUAGGAGAGCCUGCCAUAUUCCAUUCGAAUACAUAUGAUGGGAACAUUAAUGUUAUAAUAAGUAUCCAUAAUAUAUGCUUAGAGAUGUUUAUUUUUUGUAAUUUUUCAUGUGAUAGGUAUUUGAUAAGUUUUGUAUAAAGUGUACAUAAUUUAUAAUGAAUAAACAUAUUAAUUGUAUCUGUUA